CCUACGGGUGGCAGCAGUGGGGAAUAUUGGACAAUGGGGGCAACCCUGAUCCAGCCAUGCCGCGUGUGUGAAGAAGGCCCUCGGGUUGUAAAGCACUUUCAGUGAGGAAGAACGCCUGGUGGUUAAUACCCAUCAGGAAAGACAUCACUCACAGAAGAAGCACCGGCUAACUCCGUGCCAGCAGCCGCGGUAAUACGGAGGGUGCGAGCGUUAAUCGGAAUUACUGGGCGUAAAGCGCGCGUAGGUGGCUUGAUAAGCCGGUUGUGAAAGCCCCGGGCUCAACCUGGGAACGGCAUCCGGAACUGUCAAGCUAGAGUGCAGGAGAGGAAGGUAGAAUUCCCGGUGUAGCGGUGAAAUUCGUAGAGAUCGGGAGGAAUACCAGUGGCGAAGGCGGCCUUCUGGACUGACACUGACGCUGAGGUGCGAAAGCGUGGGUAGCAAACAGGAUUAGAUACCCUGGUAGUC
rnacentral:rRNA from 1 species